UGGACCUCUUAUAUCUGCACUUACUGUGACACCAAGUAAUUUUAGCCCCCCUUGUUGGAUUUCUGAUUUUCUUUCUACUUGCACGCAUCUUAAAUUCCUGAGAACUUUCACUUGUCAGAUUUUAAGGUUGAUACUGGGGGCUAUCUGCCGGUGCUAUUGCCGGUAUUGUAGUAGCAGCAUUUAUGUCUGUCGCAUUGGUUUUGGUAGUCCUCCGAAUGGCUGGUUACUUAGGGGCUAAAAACGAAGAUGAAGUUUCUUGUGCCCCAAGGUAAUGGUCGAGUUCUUGUCAGCAGACGGCAGUGUCACUGCUAGCUCAAGCUAUCCGCGCGGGCCAAUUCACUUCACUGAAACAUUUCUCAAAACCACUCCUCUCAUUGCCGGUUUACAAUCAGGAACCCAAGUUCUGAACAUAAAAACGAUUGAACACAUUGAAGGGCUGCAGCCGACAGCGUACUUGAAAGUGGUACUAGAGCAAAGAGCAGAGUGUUCCAAAAUGGUGCGGGCAUACGUCAAAUUUACGCUGCAUCACUAGAGCUUGAAUCUGAACUUCCU
rnacentral:sRNA from 1 species